rnacentral:rRNA from 1 species
UAGGGAAUAUUGGACAAUGGGGGCAACCCUGAUCCAGCCAUGCCGCGUGAGUGAAGAAGGCCCUCGGGUUGUAAAGCUCUUUUGUCCGGAAAGAAAGGCAUUCGGUGAAUACCCGGAUGUUCUGACGGUACCGGAAGAAUAAGCACCGGCUAACUUCGUGCCAGCAGCCGCGGUAAUACGAAGGGUGCAAGCGUUACUCGGAAUUACUGGGCGUAAAGCGUGCGUAGGUGGUUGUUUAAGUCUGAUGUGAAAGCCCUGGGCUCAACCUGGGAAUGGCAUUGGAAACUGGGCAGCUAGAGUGCGGUAGAGGGUAGUGGAAUUCCCGGUGUAGCAGUGAAAUGCGUAGAGAUCGGGAGGAACAUCUGUGGCGAAGGCGACUGCCUGGACCAGCACUGACACUGAGGCACGAAAGCGUGGGGAGCAAACA